AGGGCCUGUGUCCGGCCAUGGGUGGAAUGGCACCCGCAGCGGCUCUGGUAGGAACUGAUGGCCCUCGAGGCUUCAGAACAGCCACCGGCCCCCUCAAGCCCCGCCCCCCAGUGGGCGGAGAAGGCGUUACAAGCCAAGGGUGCCUGUGCGUAGGCGGGGAAAUCUGGUAGAUCCAUAGGAACUCCUGGGUCCUAGGGUUAAGGGAGUGAGCCCCCUACCCUGACCUUUGCUUCCAACUCCCAUAGAGGUACAAAGCUCCCUUGUGGGAUUUGCAUCUCCAAGCUGUCUGGAGUCCCUUACUCACUGCCUCCAUCCCCUGCCUGAAUAGAACCCAGGGUGUCAAAUCUUAUGUACUGGGACUCCUAAAACAUCUGAAGUCUACCAUCUCCUUCCUAGCCUCAUCUUCCUGGGCCCUUAAAUACCUCUUCCUAGAUGAAGGCAGCACCUUGAGACUAAAUUCAACCCAACACUACAGGUUGGGUUGCAGAUAUGGCCUUGAAGCAAUGGUAAAGGAAAAAGAAUCAGAAAAUUGGCUGCCAUCGCUACAGGCUGUGUACUUAGUUAUGUGUCAUCUGUAUCUCUACUGCAACCCUUGCUAGAAUGUGUGCCGGCUAUGAGCAGGGUCACUGUCUGUCUUGUUCACUGCUAGAUCCUCAGCACGUGGAACUAUACCUGGAACAUGGAAGGAAGUCAAGCAAUAUUUAUUUAAUGUUAAAUAAGUGAAUCUCUGUAGCAUUAAUGGUAAAAAGACUUCCAUAUUUGCCUUCAAUUAGAUUUUAAGAUGACAGUCUAUAAAAAACAGCUUGCAAUAUACAGAAGUUCAUUUAAGAAUAACUUUGCUGGUAUCUAUUCUCUUGAGGUAUACUUACAUGCUAUUUUUUUCAAAAUCACGAAGCAAUCAGUAUCUGCCAAACGGAAUGAAAGCUGGAUCACAAAGAGGGAUAAAGAAG
rnacentral:lncRNA from 10 species